rnacentral:rRNA from 1 species
UACGUAGGGUGCAAGCGUUGUCCGGAAUUAUUGGGCGUAAAGAGCUCGUAGGCGGCUCGUCACGUCGGGAGUGAAAACUCGGGGCUUAACCCCGAGCCUGCUUCCGAUACGGGCAGACUAGAGGUAGGCAGGGGAGAGCGGAACUCCUGGUGUAGCGGUGGAAUGCGCAGAUAUCAGGAAGAACACCGGUGGCGAAGGCGGCUCUCUGGGCCUUACCUGACGCUGAGGAGCGAAAGCGUGGGGAGCAAACAGG